rnacentral:rRNA from 1 species
CUUAUAUAGCUUCAGUCUGUCCGAGAGUAAACUCCCAAACCAUUGUGAACUUACCACUGUUGCUUCGGCGGCCUCGCCCCGGGCGCGUUCGCGCGGCCCGGACCCAGGCGUCCGCCGGAGGCUUCAAACUCUUGUCUUUUAGUGUAUUUCUGAGUGGCAUAAGCAAAUAAAUCAAAACUUUCAGCAACGGAUCUCUUGGUUCUGGCAUCGAUGAAGAACGCAGCAAAAUGCGAUAAGUAAUGUGAAUUGCAGAAUUCAGUGAAUCAUCGAAUCUUUGAACGCACAUUGCGCCCGCCAGUAUUCUGGCGGGCAUGCCUGUCUGAGCGUCAUUUCAACCCUCAGGACCCGUUCGCGGGACCUGGCGUUGGGGAUCAGCCUGCCCCUGGCGGCGGCUGGCCCUGAAAUACAGUGGCGGUUCCCUCGCGAACUCCUCCGUGCAGUAAUUAAACCUCUCGCGGCAGGAUAGCGGUUGAACCACGCCGUUAAACCCCCCACUUCUCAAGGUUGACCUCAGAUCAGGUAGGAAUACCCGCUGAACUUAAGCAUAUCAAUAAGCGGAGGAACG